rnacentral:misc_RNA from 1 species
AGCAGCCGCGGUAAUUCCAGCUCCAAUAGCGUAUAUUAAAGUUGCUGCAGUUAAAAGCUCGUAGUUGAAUUUCGGGAUUGGCGCAUCGGUCGUGCCUCACGGGGUAUGAACUGGUGCAGUCAAUUUCUCACCUUCUGGAGAACCGCGAUGUCCUUAAUUGGAUGCCGCGGGGAACCAGGACCUUUACUUUGAAAAAUUAGAGUGUUUAAAGCAGGCAUUUUUGCUUGAAUACAUUAGCAUGGAAUAAUAAAAUAGGACGGCAUGGUUCUAUUUUGUUGGUUUCUAGGACCACCGUAAUGAUUAAUAGGGAUAGUUGGGGGCAUUAGUAUUCAAUUGUCAGAGGUGAAAUUCUUGGAUUUAUUGAAGACUAACUACUGCGAAAGCAUUUGCCAAGGAUGUUUUCAUUAAUCAAGAACGAAAGUUAGGGGAAUCGAAGACGAUCAGAUACCGUCGUAGUCUUAACCAUAAACUAUGUCCGACUAGGAAUCAGACGAUGUUAAUUUUUAAUGUACUUCGUUUG